ensembl:lncRNA
GGUGAACCAGGUAAGGCAAUCAUUUGAGAAACCAAGGCUGUCGAGUCUGCCGAUGAGGAUGUGGUGAUUGACAGAGUCGAAAGCCUUGGCCAGAUCAAUGAAUACAGCUGCACAGUAAUGUUUCUUAUCGAUGGCGGUUAAGAUAUCGUUUAGGACCUUGAGCAUGGCUGAGGUGCACCCAUGACCAGCUCUGAAACCAGAUUGCAUAGCAGAGAGGGUAUGGUGAGAUUCGAAAUGGUCGUAAUCUGUUUGUUGACUUGGCUUUCGAAGACCUUAGAAAGGCAGGGUAGGAUAUAUAUAGGUCUGUAGCAGUUUGGGUCAAGAGUGUCCCCCCCCUUUGAAGAGGAGGAUGACCGCAGCUGCUUUCCAAUCUUUGGGAAUCUCAGACGACACGAAAGAGAGGUUGAACAGGCUAGUAAUAGGGGUGGCAACAAUUUCGGCAGAUCAUUUUUGACAGAAAGGGUCCAGAUUGUCUAGCCCUGCUGAUUUGUAGGGGUCCAAAUUUUGAAGCUCUUUCAGAACAUCAGCUGACUGGAUUUGGGAGAAGGAGAAAUGGGGAAGGCUUGGGCGAGUUGCUGUGGGGGGUGCAAUGCUGUUGACCGGGGUCUACAGGGACAUCAUCGCAUGGAGACAAUACCUUCUAGCCCCAAGAACAGCUCAACAACUCCCCCUGUUCCAGAUGACCCCCACCUGCCCGAAGGCUAUGAAACAUUCCCCCAGAGUGCUCCAUGUUUCCAUAAAGCAUCAGGCUCCCCCCAGGAGGAUUUGUCUCCUGUCCCUUCACCUGUACCAUGUAUGUAUCAGGAACACAGUGAUUCUCAGGCUGAUGAAGAGGAGGAGGACAAGGCCCCUGCAUCUGAAGAUGAUGAAGGAGGAGGUCCCAGAGAGGAGGAAGAGGAUGGAGAUUAUGAGGAGACCGUGGUAGAGCCCAGGCCUCUGAAUGAGUUUGCAUCUCUAACAGACAGAACCAGCCCCUGGACCAGCCUGCUGUCAGACCCAGACCUAGCCUCUCUGGAGAGUCUGGAGACACCAGAGGAGCGCCAAGCCUUGGACUACUCCUACCACCCCAGUCUCACCCAACAGGAGGGGGAGAGGUCUGAUCUGCAGACUGACACCCUGCAGGCUUGGAGGUCUAGUGAGGCCAUAGGCAGCAGACUAGAGGAGAGGGAGCAACAUGUUAACUCUGAAUUCUCUCAUGGACCAGACACAGAUGAGGAGGAAGACACUGUGAGUGAUGGUGAGAGGACACUCCAAACCUCUGACAAUGAGGCAGCACUACAUCAGGAGUCCAUCACUGCUGCUCUACACGAACAGUCCUUAUUGUGUAGUGGAGAGACUGCUAGCAGGGUUCCUGGUGACAGAGAAGCUCUGUCAGAGGUUGAGACCUCCGGGUUGUUGUACGACACAGCUGCUUUCUCAGAAGAGGACACAGAACAUGUUGUCACAUCUGACACAUAUCAGCCAGAAACGUUCCUACACAAAGAAGACAACAGGAAGUCUAAACACUCUGACCCUGUGGAGAUCCCUAAUUUCUUCCUCUCAUCUCACCACAUGGAGGCUUCUAUGAGAGCGCUACGCAUAGCACCUGUCUUCCCCCUGGCCUCUUCUGACCCAAAAAAGAGCUCUCUUAGACAUGGGAUUCUCUGUCGGCGCGUUCCUCGUCCCAGGCCCAAUAUACCACCGUCGUCCAUGAAGAAAGAAGAGACCAAGAGAAUAGCAAAGAUAUUUGCAUCUCAUUUUAAAGACUAAUAUUAGCACUUUCUUUAAAUGCUAUUUGAUAUUGUGUGUCGUGCUGUAUAUACGGUUGGGUGUAUGUUUUCUAAAGGUUUAUGAAUGACCACACAUCUUGAUUACAUAAGUGGCAGCUCAUGGACAGUGCUUUCUAAUUAUGUAAAGAAUAUGUACAUUUCAUUUAAGUAGUUUUUCUAUUGUUUUUAUAAAUUAAAUGGUUUUGCCAGUGUAACUGAUAUUUUAUUUAUUUAUUAUUAGGUGUGUACCCAUGAUCACUGAUGUGGGAGACUCACAUAGCCUUUUAAGGAUUAUUGUCACAGGGGAAAACAUUUUUUCUAAUAGUCAAAAGGGUAUCAAGUGUUGACCCCCUUGUCCAUUAGUCCUUGUUUUUCCAACAAAGUGAUGAACAGUUUGUUCUUAAAGUGAUGUCACCUUUGUUUGGAUUUCAGUAGCUGUCAUGGUAAGUGGGCUGGUGUUAGGAUAUGUAUGUAAUAGUUGUAUGUUGUUCUAUUCUCUGCGUCACCAGGCAGUCACACACUAUUCAAGAGCCGCUUCUGUUCCUGAAACCAGAGACUAGGAACUUCUGACAGUGAAAACAUGCACUAGCUCAGGCACACAGCCUCUCAGGGACAUGUAUGGAUUGGCUCAGCGGAUGGGUGCAUGGGCGUUUUUAUAUAUAUAUAAUUAUGGAGUGUUACAUAAUUAUUAUAAAGUCUAAAUUAGCUCUGUGCUAUUUCAACAAGUCUUAUUGCCUUGGCUCCCUGCUGAAAUGAAAUUCAUUGGAUGUAAUACCUUUUGAGUUUAAGACAACUACUGUAUCUUGCAUAUCGGCUGUUCAUUGUAACUGAAAAUGACCAAUUACAUAAUAAAUGAUGUAUCAAAGAGUGUUGCAUUUUUGCGCAGAUAUAAUUAAAUGCAUGUUUUUUUAAGGUUCAACAGAACAUUGACUGUUGUAAACUGAGGCUGACUGACAUAAUGUCGCAUACUGUCUUGUACUCCCAAAAGGGAGAAAUAGUUUACAUGAACUUUCAUCAUGGUUUGAACAUUUUUGGAGUAAUUUUUUUAAAUAAAAAAAAAACCUAAAUGCA